AAGGAGUAAACCUCUAUAUAUGGGUGCCCGCUCUACCAACUGAGCUCUCCGGGCGCCUGAUUACUACACUUUUUAAUUGUGACAUUUUUUGCAGGAAAUCUUGGCACAUCCAGUCAUUGAUUUGGGCAAUGCACAUACCCAGUGAUUCUAUGGGGGCAAAGUCACUCAAUAGGAGAGUGCUUCUCGAAGUCAAGGAUGCUUCCUUAGUAGGACAGAUCUUUCCAAGUUGGGUCCUACAGAGGCUAGGCAAGACUCCUUCCUUGCAUUCGUAGAGCACGUAAAUGGGACAGGCAAGCCGUAGCAUCAUUGAAAAGGUCCCGCCUUAAAUUCCACGCUGCAAUUCAAAACACUGGACGAAAAUGGACGUGGCACUGUUAACUAUGUGAGAUGGAGAAGUAGCAUCGGCGUCAGUCUGCUUACAGAAGGAGGAGAAUGUUCUGUCGGCAACUUUGCCAACAACGUGGGAUGGUAAAUGUUAAAACACGAAUGUAGGAUGAAUAAGUAACGUUACACAAUAGGCUAACGUUAGCUCCCUGCAUAAUUCAGCAGGCAAACUAAUACACGAAGAGACCAGGGAUCACACAUGGCUAUCCUCAAAAUAAGCAAGAGGCUCUGCUUCUGGCUGUCUGAGUAUGUAGAGACCAUUCCCUUCAGAAUAAAGGAGGAGAUAAAAAAACAAAUGACAAUGAGUCCUCUGCAGAACAUAGCAGAAGUUCCGCCUUAUUUUCUGCUGAGCACGUGUAGACUUGAGUCACAUGACUUGACCAAUGACUUGUGGCUUCACUUGGACUUUAGCCUUGUGACUUGCAAUGACUUAACAUCCUCCCAAAGUUAUAAAAAAAAUGUGUACUGCAAAUUAACUUUUCAUUUUCAAAAAAUAUUUAUUUUACCAGGACAAUCCACUCAGUAUCAACCCUGCUUUCUGCGGAGUCCUGGGUAGCAAUCAUACAUUAAAAAAAAACCCCACAACAUUAAAGUUCUCUGAAUAACAAAAGGCGUGCGUCAGGGGUCAGUCUUGGGACCACUGCUAUUCAUUCUCUAUAUAUCAAUAACAUUGAUCAUAACGUGUCUAAUGUCAGAUUUCAUUUUUAUGCUGAUGACACUGUACUGUAUUGCUCUGCACCCACCGCAUACCAGGCCCUCUACCAGUUACAACUUGUUUUUAACACAGUUCAACAGAAUCUUUAUGAUUUAAAACUUUUUUAAAUGCUGACAAAACUAAAGUCAUGCUUUUUCAAAUUUAAAAUCCAAACCACCAAAACUGCCUUUAAUCCUCACUUCCCAGGAUAUGAAAAUUGAAUUGCAUAUUCAGCAGCUGGCAAAAAGAUUAAAACUUAAUCUAGGUUUUUAUUUCAGGAUCAAAUCUUGCCUCUCUCUACCAUAGUCAAUCUCUACUUGACUAUGGUGAUGUUUUAUACAUGCAUGCUUCAUCUUAAAAGGUACAUGCACUGGACACUGUAUACCAUGGAGCUCUGAGGUUCAUCACUGGUAUGAAAGCCCUCACUCACCAUUGUGAACUGUGUGAACGUGUUGGAUGGUCUUCUCUAUCAACACAGAGACUUCAACACUGGCAUAUCUUCAUAUGCAAGGCUAUUUUAGGUCUCCUUCCAUCCUACCUUCUGACCUACAGUAUAUCAGUGUAAAUAGUACCGGGACUUACAAUCUUCGUUCCCAGGAUCUUUUCCUUCUGUCUGUUCUAAAGGUUACAUCUAAACUGGGGAAUAAGGCGUUUAAGUUUGCUGCUCCCUCUACCUGGAAUAAAUAACAGGAAUCCAUUAAACUUAAUGAGCUGGUCUCAUUGGUCGCUUUUAAGAGGAUGUUGAUUGACUUGGAGGCAGUCACAUCUGGCUGUAGAUGUUUUGCCUGAUGUGUUUAGG